AAAAACUAUAAAACAAUCCUUGGAAGACUAGUAAUUUUGUUGUAUGCGAAAUUUUAUCAGACAUUCAGUUUGAGAGGAUUUACAACAUUAUUUCUGUUUUCCAAGAAACUUAUAGUCAAUCAACG
rnacentral:pre_miRNA from 1 species